UACGUAGGGUGCAAGCGUUAAUCGGAAUUACUGGGCGUAAAGCGUGCGCAGGCGGCUUUGCAAGACAGAUGUGAAAUCCCCGGGCUUAACCUGGGAACUGCAUUUGUGACUGCAUGGCUGGAGUGCGGCAGAGGGGGAUGGAAUUCCGCGUGUAGCAGUGAAAUGCGUAGAUAUGCGGAGGAACACCGAUGGCGAAGGCAAUCCCCUGGGCCUGCACUGACGCUCAUGCACGAAAGCGUGGGGGAGCAAACAGG
rnacentral:rRNA from 1 species